UGCUCUUUUAGGUAAUCUUGAACCAAUGCUCUCAUUCCUCCCUUGCCAAAAUUGGUUUGAAGAAGAUCAUUCCUAUCUUUCAAUACUAUCUUCUCAUCUUUCCAGCAAAUAAUUCCUUGCCGUAUCAUAUUAUUAAAUUCAUUGCAAUCUUUUCUAGUGUGUGAAGCAUCAUCACACCAAAUGCAUCUUUGUACAUAUCCUUGUUUUGAAACAUUCUUAGAAUUAUUUAUAGAAGUAUUCUCUUCAAGUCUUGCCAAUUUGAUUUGAAGAUCUCGCAUUCCUCAUAUAAUUUCUUCCAUCCCCAUAUCUGCUUUCUUUGAUAAGGAUGUCGAAGGUUGAACUGUAGGCAUUGUUGGUAGUGUUGUAUGUACUGGAGCUUUGGGUACUUGUACUGUUUUUUGAAUAUUGCUCCUAUCCUUCUUCCUUUCUUUUUUUGUAAGCAACCCCACUGCAUCUUCAACGUUC
rnacentral:lncRNA from 1 species